rnacentral:sRNA from 1 species
CGCAGCCGCGGUAAUUCCAGCUCCAAUAGCGUAUAUUAAAGUUGUUGCAGUUAAAAAGCUCGUAGUUGAAUUUCGGGGUUAGUAGGUUGGUCAUGCCUCUGGUAUGUACUGGUCUCACUGAUUCCUCCUUCCUGAUGAACCGUAAUGCCAUUAAUUUGGUGUUGCGGGGAAUUUGGACUGUUACUUUGAAAAAUUAGAGUGUUUAAAGCAAGCUAACGCUUGAAUACAUUAGCAUGGAAUAAUGAAAUAGGACGUUCGAUCCUAUUUUGUUGGUUCUAGGAUUGACGUAAUGAUUAAUAGGGAUAGUUGGGGGCAUUAGUAUUCAAUUGUCAGAGGUGAAAUUCUUGGAUUUAUUGAAAGACUAACUACUGCGAAAGCAUUUGCCAAGGAUGUUUUCAUUAAUCAAGAACGAAAGUUAGGGGAUCGAAGACGAUCAGAUACCGUCGUAGUCUUAACCAUAAACUAUGCCGACUAG